rnacentral:lncRNA from 1 species
GUGCUGAUCCGCCAUCCCACUGUGGAGAUGAAGGCGUGUGCUGAUCCCCCAUCCCCCUGUGGAGAUGAAGGCGUGUGCUCAUCCCCCAUCCCCCUGUGGAGAUGAAGGCGUGUGCUGAUCCGCCAUCCCACUGUGGAGAUGAAGGUGUGUGCUGAUCCCCCAUCCCCCUGUGGAGAUGAAGGUGUGUGCUGAUCCCCGGUCCCCCUGUGGAGAUGAAGGUGUGUGCUGAUCCCCCGUCCUCCUGUGGAGAUGAAGGCGUGUGCUGAUCCCCCGUCCCCCUGUGGAGAUGAAGGCGUGUGCUGAUCCGCCGUCCCCCUGUGGAGAUGAAGGCGUGUGCUGAUCCGCCAUCCCCCUGUGGAGAUGAAGGCGUGUGCUCAUCCCCCAUCCCCCUGUGGAGAUGAAGGCGUGUGCUGAUCCGCCAUCCCACUGUGGAGAUGAAGGUGUGUGCUGAUCCCCCAUCCCCCUGUGGAGAUGAAGGUGUGUGCUGAUUACUAAUCCACAUGGGCAAGAACAGGAUGUCCGUCAUUACCCUGAAUCAAUGCUAACACAGUGCCACUUGAGUUCACAUUAAGUUAGAAAUUGAGAAUCUAAAGGUACCUUUAUUUUAACUAAAAAAUAAUUUAUAUACUGUAUAUUGAUUGUGACACAAUUUACAAAGUCUGAGGUGUGGAACAGUUAUUUAAGCAUUAGUCAACCCUGGUCCUUAAGACAGUUCUAGUAAAAUGGGAUUGUAUAUAUUUGUUCAACUAUUUUGACCAAAAAGUUCAAUAAAUUUUAAAUGUUUAACUGGAUUUUCACUGCGUAUUUG